AACGCGAAGAACCUUACCUGGUCUUGACAUCCACAGAACUUGCCAGAGAUGGCUUGGUGCCUUCGGGAACUGUGAGACAGGUGCUGCAUGGCUGUCGUCAGCUCGUGUUGUGAAAUGUUGGGUUAAGUCCCGCAACGAGCGCAACCCUUAUCCUUUGUUGCCAGCGGUUCGGCCGGGAACUCAAAGGAGACUGCCAGUGAUAAACUGGAGGAAGGUGGGGAUGACGUCAAGUCAUCAUGGCCCUUACGACCAGGGCUACACACGUGCUACAAUGGCAUAUACAAAGAGAAGCGACCUCGCGAGAGCAAGCGGACCUCAUAAAGUAUGUCGUAGUCCGGAUUGGAGUCUGCAACUCGACUCCAUGAAGUCGGAAUCGCUAGUAAUCGUAGAUCAGAAUGCUACGGUGAAUACGUUCCCGGGUCUUGUACACACCG
rnacentral:rRNA from 1 species